rnacentral:rRNA from 1 species
GACGAACGCUGGCGGCGUGCUUAACACAUGCAAGUCGAGCGGAAAGGCCUGCUUUCCCUUGUGGAUUGCGGGUACUCGAGUGGCGAACGGGUGAGUAACACGUGAGUGAUCUGCCCCCAACUUGGGUAUAAGCCUGGGAAACUGGGUCUAAUUCCCGAUAGGACUGCAGGGUGGUGCCUGUGGUGGAAAACGAUUUUCUAGUGGUUGGGGAUGAGCUCGCGGCCUAUCAGCUUGUUGGUGGGGUAAUGGCCUACCAAGGCGGCGACGGGUAGCCGGCCUGAGAGGGUGGACGGCCACAUUGGGACUGAGAUACGGCCCAGACUCCUACGGGAGGCAGCAGUGGGGAAUAUUGCACAAUGGGCGGAAGCCUGAUGCAGCGACGCCGCGUGGGGGAUGACGGCCUUCGGGUUGUAAACUCCUUUCGACCGCGAGGAAGCCACCUGGUUGGAAGGGUGGUGACGGUAGUGGUAGAAGAGGCACCGGCUAACUACGUG